rnacentral:misc_RNA from 1 species
AAAGCUAGAGAAAGAUUUAAAGUACUUUCCAGCUUUGGCUUCUUUUCUCUAGAGGAGUUCUCCCUCUCAUUAUCUUCGUCUUCGUGAACCUCCCUCUUUGAAGAAGAAUUGGACUUGGUUUCUUCCAGAUUCAUGAAAUCUCUCUCCACCCAUCUCUCAUCUUGAUUUGAAUUCUCUGAAAAGAUCACUUCUUUGCCCUUUUGAUUAAAACCCAGUUUAGGAUUUUCACAAAGGUAGCUAAGAGUAAGCUCUUGAGGUUUUGAGGCAAACCCAUCAAGACCCAUCUUCGACUCCUUGAGAAAAUCAAUCCCCUUGUGAGACAAAACUAUUUUCUGUUCCGGAUUUUCUUGGUUAUAUGAGCUCUCAGCCUCACCGUUGGAGAGAUGAUGACCUCUCCCCCA